AACGAACGCUGGCGGCAGGCUUAACACAUGCAAGUCGAGCGCCCCGCAAGGGGAGCGGCAGACGGGUGAGUAACACGUGGGAAUCUACCCACCCCUACGGAACAACUCCGGGAAACUGGAGCUAAUACCGUAUACGCCCUUUGGGGGAAAGAUUUAUCGGGGAUGGAUGAGCCCGCGUUGGAUUAGCUAGUUGGUGGGGUAAAGGCCUACCAAGGCGACGAUCCAUAGCUGGUCUGAGAGGAUGAUCAGCCACAUUGGGACUGAGUCACGGCCCAAACUCCUACGGGAGGCAGCAGUGGGGAAUAUUGGACAAUGGGCGCAAGCCUGAUCCAGCCAUGCCGCGUGAAUGAUGAAGGCCUUAGGGUUGUAAAGUUCUUUCACCGAUGAAGAUAAUGACGGUAGUCGGAGAAGAAGCCCCGGCUAACUUCGUGCCAGCCGCCGCAGUAA
rnacentral:rRNA from 1 species